CACACACCAUACCACCCCAAGACUGAUGGGAUAAUGCUCAGGGAAUGAUCAGAGGCUCAGAGAGGUGAAGGGUCUGCUCCAGGCCACACAGCUGGGGAGGAAGCUGAGGUUCGGAGAGUGCCAUAGCAGCUCUGGAAAGAGGUUACUCUCUGCUGGAGGAAUAAGAGCACUCCAGUAUGCGUGUGAGCCCUUGCAUUUUUGCCAGAGCUUCAGGCUGUCAGGUCUGGCUGGGCACUGGUGGCUCAUGCCUGUAAUCCUAGCUACUUAGGAGGCUGAGAUCA